rnacentral:rRNA from 1 species
AGCGAAGAAGGCCUUCGGGUCGUAAAGCUCUGUCCUAAGGGAAGAAGAAUGACGGUACCUUAGGAGGAAGCCCCGGCUAACUACGUGCCAGCAGCCGCGGUAAUACGUAGGGGGCGAGCGUUAUCCGGAAUCACUGGGCGUAAAGGGUGAGUAGGCGGCCAAAUAAGCCAGAGGUGAAUGGCUACGGCUUAACCGUAGUAAGCCUUUGGAACUGUAUGGCUUGAGUGCAGGAGAGGAGAGUGGAAUUCCUAGUGUAGCGGUGGAAUGCGUAGAUAUUAGGAGGAACACCAGUGGCGAAGGCGACUCUCUGGACUGCAACUGACGCUGAGGCACGAAAGCGUGGGGAGCAAACAGGAUUAGAUACCCUGGUAGUCCACGCCGUAAACGAUGAGUGCUAGGUGUCGGGGGUUCACACCCUCGGUGCCGGAGUUAACGCAAUAAGCACUCCGC